rnacentral:lncRNA from 1 species
AUGCUACUGACCACAGGACUGUCCCUGAAUUACAAGCUCUCACUAGGUGGGCUCAUCCAGCCCCAUGGCUCCUGUCAGCGUCUCUUCACAGAAGACUCCCAGCUCUCGAUCUCCAGUUCUCUUCUGCAGCACCUUCUUCUACUUGCUGGGUCCUGGCUACAUCUUCCCAACCUAUCUGGUUAUCAACCUCUAAGCAUCCCAGCUCCAGUCAAAACUCCUCUGCUGGGGGCUUCCCUGGUGGUUGAGUGGUAAAGAAUCCAUCUGCCAACGCAGGACACACGGGUUCAAUCCCUGGUCUGGGAAGAUCCCACAUGUCAAGGAGCAACUGAGCCUGGGCGCCACAGCUGCUGAGCCUGUGCUCUAGAGCCUGGGAGCUGCAACCACUGAAACCACAUGCUGCCGAAGCCUGAGCGCCCCAGAGCCCGUGCUUCACCAGGGAAGUCGCCACAGUGAGAAACCCGCUCCCUGCAACCAGAGAGUAGCCCCCACUCAUAGCAACCAGAGAAAGCCUGCACACAGCAACACAGACCCAGCACAGCCA